UGAGGAAUAUUGCGCAAUGGAGGCAACUCUGACGCAGCCAUGCCGCGUGCAGGAAGACGGCCCUACGGGUUGUAAACUGCUUUUAUCCGGGAAGAAACCCCUCGACGUGUCGAGGGUUGACGGUACCGGAGGAAUAAGCACCGGCUAACUUCGUGCCAGCAGCCGCGGUAAUACGAAGGGUGCAAGCGUUAUCCGGAUUCAUUGGGUUUAAAGGGUGCGUAGGCGGGGCGUUAAGUCAGUGGUGAAAUCCUGCAGCUUAACUGUAGAAUUGCCAUUGAUACUGGCGCUCUUGAGUACGCUUGGCGUGGGCGGAAUGUGCCGUGUAGCGGUGAAAUGCUUAGAUAUGGCACAGAACACCGAUCGCGAAGGCAGCUCACGAAGGCGAAACUGACGCUGAGGCACGAAAGCGUGGGGAUCGAACAGG
rnacentral:rRNA from 1 species